rnacentral:rRNA from 1 species
UACGUAGGGGGCUAGCGUUGUCCGGAUUUAUUGGGCGUAAAGAGCGUGUAGGCGGCCAGGUAGGUCUGCUGUGAAAACUCGAGGCUCAACCUCGAGACGUCGGCGGAAACCAUCUGGCUAGAGUCCGGAAGAGGAGAGUGGAAUUCCUGGUGUAGCGGUGAAAUGCGUAGAGAUCGGCAGGAACACCAGUGGCGAAGGCGGCCACCUAGCCCGCACCUGACGCUGAGGCGCGACAGCGUGGGGAGCGAACUGG